UUUAUUUUUCGUUUAGCUCCCUAUCCCGCUCUUGCAGACUCCAUUCCCCUGUCCUCGUCGCCGCCGGCCGAGGGUCCAGGCCGCCUCCUUUUUUCGUCGCCGCCGGAAGAUGGCCGGCUCCUCUCGUCGUCGCUGCCGGAAGAGGGAUCCUGGAUCGAAGCCAUCGCCGCCGCCGGUAGAGGGCCGCCUCCUCUCGUCGUCGCCGCCGGAAGAGGGAUCCUGGAUCGAGGCCUUCGCCGCCGCCGGAAGAGGGCCGCCUCCUCUCGUCCUCGCUGCCGGAAGAGGGAUCCUGGAUCGAGGCCGUCGCCCCCCUCCCCCUCGUGCCUUCCCUUCCAGGCCGCCGGCCGAGGGCCCUGUGCUCAUCGCAGGAGGGACGGCCAUUCCCAGGCGCGUUGCCGUGGUCGGCCGGCGGACCUGCGCGUGGUGGUGCGCUGGGGGCCAGGACCAGCGCAGUUUCCGUUUUGACACCGGCUUUCCGGCGAGAUCUUGACAGGCGGGAAUUGAACUUCUGAAUCUCUUGUCUCUCUGUCCCUCCAUUUUUUGAACGGGCUCUGAUCCAUUGAAGCAUGCGAGGGCGCAAUUUUUUGCUUACGAAACCCAGUCAUAAUUUUUCUUUCUUUUUCAUCUGAUGACUCACAGGUGAUUACUUAUUGACAGGAAGCUACAUGAAAGUUAUUACUGCUAUUGUGCUCAAAUUAGUUAUAACAUAUCGAGUAUAAUUUGAACAGCAAUAAACUAGUGUAAUAUGUAGCACUUUUUUUAAGCAACAUAAGCAUUUGAAAGGUUCAUACAUUUGAAAGUGAGCAUGAAUAUUUAAUCAAUUGUGUGUUCGUACAUUCUGUAAGGAUCAUGGAUGAUGAAGAAUAAAUCCAUAAAGAAUUAAAUCCAUCAGCACUUGUAGCUUUUUUGUUUGUGAUUAAAUGUUGAAAUAGAUGUGAUCCUUUUUUUUCCCAUUCCAGCAGGGUAAUUGAUGGAGGCGAAUGGGUAUGUAAGCCUAGAGGAAAUUGAGGAAUAUAACUAUGUGGCAAAUCGGACCUUUAAUACCGAGGAAGAUUUCUUCGAGUUUUUACAAUGCUUAUGCAUUCCGUAAAGGAUUUGUCAGGCAUGGAGUGACCAGAGUUUUCUGGUUUGUCAAGUGUCGUUGUGUCUGAAGUUGCAUUUUCGUUGUUUGCUCCCACAACAGUGCUUUCAUCCUAGUGGCUGCUCUCUGAUGCAGUGGUACUAUUGGAGUUCUCAUCUGCUGUAGCAGGUUGGAUAAAUAAUUCAUAAAGUAUAGAACAGACAACAGAAAACACGCAUUGAAGGGUCUAAAUCUGCUGCAGCUAUGACGCGACUUCAUCUCAGUAUUAUCUGUUUGCAGAACAAGAGGGUGUUCAAUUGAGUAUAUAUUGUCUGCUAGCAUUUUGAAACUAAAUUGUGAUGUGACGCCUCCUGAUAAAAGUAUGUCUGCAAAAUGGUGUCAAUAUGGAAGUUGGAAGUCUUGUCAGGGGUGAUUUAUAUGGACUAAUCUAUGAAGGCGCAGCUCUAGACUGGAUAGUUUCCUCAUGGUUUUGAGUGUGCAAAAAUUUUGCCAGUGCAAUACUGAAUGUAGAUAGAAUUAUACUUUCGAUGACAUUGUACUAUUUCUUAUAUUUUACCUACUAGUAAAUAAAAUGCCCUGAUUUUAGCUUGC